GAGCGCCGACACGGUACGUCGGAGACGCGGGUUCGAACCCCGCUGGAGCGGUCAAUUUUUGAUAUGAUAUUCAAAAAUGUUUAGAAUUCCUAAUGUGGGUAACACAAAAAUAAAAUCUUAGAUAUUAAAAAUAGCACGGUGUCGUCUCCUGUCAAAGAUUUUCAUUGUAAUAUGAAACUUUGAAUAGUUACGGGUUUCUGUAAAGAGCUCACUAUAGACGGCGCCACGGUUCGCUUAAACCGUAAUUUAAAAUUAUCAUAUCGAAAAUUUCGCUCGAGCGGGUGUAUCGUUCCAUAGCUUAAUUGGCUAGAGCGCCGACACGGUACGUCGGAGACGCGGGUUCGAUCCCCGCUGGAGCGGUCAAUUUUUGAUAUGAUAUUCAAGAAU
rnacentral:tRNA from 1 species